AUUGAACGCUGGCGGCAUGCUUUACACAUGCAAGUCGAACGGCAGCACGGGUGCUUGCACCUGGUGACGAGUGGCGGACGGGUGAGUAAUGCAUCGGAACGUGUCCUAAAGAGGGGGAUAACGCAUCGAAAGAUGUGCUAAUACCGCAUAAUCUCUGAGGAGAAAAGCAGGGGAUCGUAAGACCUUGCGCUUUUGGAGCGGCCGAUGUCUGAUUAGCUAGUUGGUAGGGUAAUGGCCUACCAAAGCUUCGAUCAGUAGCUGGUCUGAGAGGACGACCAGCCACACUGGGACUGAGACACGGCCCAGACUCCUACGGGAGGCAGCAGUGGGGAAUUUUGGACAAUGGGCGCAAGCCUGAUCCAGCCAUGCCGCGUGAGUGAAGAAGGCCUUCGGGUUGUAAAGCUCUUUCAGCCGGGAAGAAAAGGCUACGACGAAUAAUCGUAGCUCAUGACGGUACCGGAAGAAGAAGCACCGGCUAACUACGUGCCAGCAGCCGCGGUAAUACGUAGGGUGCGAGCGUUAAUCGGAAUUACUGGGCGUAAAGGGUGCGCAGGCGGUUUUGUAAGUCAGAUGUGAAAUCCCCGGGCUUACCUGGGAACUGCGUUUGAACUACGAGACUAGAGUGUAGCAGAGGGGGGUGGAAUUCCAUGU
rnacentral:rRNA from 1 species